UCCUGUAGGUUUUCACUCCAACCCUGUUCCUGGAGAGAUACCCUCCUGUAGGUUUUAACUCCAACCCUGUUCAUGGAGAGAUACCCUCCUGUAGGUUUUAACUCCAACCCUGUUCAUGGAGAGAUACCCUCCUGUAGGUUUUAACUCCAACCCUGUUCCUGGAGAGAUACCCUCCUGUAGGUUUUAACUCCAACCCUGUUCCUGGAGAGAUACCCUCCUGUAGGUUUUAACUCCAACCCUGUUCCUGGAGAGAUACCCCUCCUGGAGGUUUUAACUCCAGCCCUGUUCCUGGAGAGAUACCCUCCUGUAGGUUUUAACUCCAACCCUGUUCCUGGAGAGAUACCCC
rnacentral:lncRNA from 1 species